UCGGGAAUUUUGGGCAAUGGGCGAAAGCCUGACCCAGCAACGCCGCGUGAGGGAUGAAGUAUUUCGGUAUGUAAACCUCGAAAGAAUGGGAAGAAUAAAUGACGGUACCAUUUAUAAGCUCCGGCUAACUACGUGCCAGCAGCCGCGGUAAUACGUAGGGAGCAAGCGUUGUUCGGAUUUACUGGGCGUAAAGGGCGCGUAGGCGGCGCGGUAAGUCACUUGUGAAAUCUCUGAGCUUAACUCAGAACGGCCAAGUGAUACUGCUGUGCUAGAGUGCGGAAGAGGCAACCGGAAUUCUUGGUGUAGCGGUGAAAUGCGUAGAUAUCAAGAGGAACACCUGAGGCGAAGGCGGGUUGCUGGGCCGACGCUGACGCUGAUGCGCGAAAGCCAGGGGAGCAAACG
rnacentral:rRNA from 1 species